ACGGCAACCUUUUUCUCCCUCUCCCGUUUCCUUCUCUCGGCGCAGCAAACCAAAGCAAGGGAACACCUAGGGUUUCCUUCCUAGGACCGUGUGUGCACUUUCCGGCGGCAACACCAGCACGAAGUCGGUUCUUCUCCGCGAGAGGAACGCGAGGACGUAAGCGGGUCGUCGAGGGGAGCAGUUUUCCGAAAAACCUAGCGGAUAGAAUCGUAAGAAAACCUUACGAUUGAGAUACAGGUAAAAGGAAAGUGGACUAGUGGAGGCUGGAGGGCGAUGCUACGAUGAUGUGUGUGUGCAAGGGGUCUGGAAUAAAGAUCCUUGGGAUCUAAACACUUUUGUUUCAGUUUUAGCACUUAAUAUGUCUAGUUUUACUUUUAGACUUGUUACUAAUUGUUCUAGCUGAGUAACUAUGUCUUGUUUAGCUUAACAUGCUUAGAACAUUAGUACUUUCAUGCUAGAAUGUUAUUACAUGUUGUUAGAAUAGUUU